rnacentral:pre_miRNA from 1 species
AAAAAGACAAAUCCUGAAUUUCCGUGUCCAAUGUUUGACUGUCCGUCUUAUAUGAAUUUUUUUAUAAUUAGUAUUUUCAUUAUUGUUAGAUGAUAAAAUAUGAUUAAUACUUUAUGUGUGACUUUUAUUUUUAAUUUUUUUCAUAAUUUUUUUAAAUAAGACGAAUGAUCAAACAUUGGACACGGAAAACCAGGGUUUGUCUUUUU